UCAAAACUCUCAAUAACUUGCACCAUCCAAGAAUUAUGUCCCUAACACAAUCAAAACACACUCUCUCUCUCUCUCUCUCUAAAUAAUUCAGCCAAUCACCCCUACACACACACACAAUUCAUAAUUUUAAAUCUUUCUUGAAGAUUUGAAGACAUUUCAAAGUGUUUUAAAACUUGUAUGAAGGAUUAGAGGUGAUUUCAAGGAGAUUUGAGCAAAAACCAAGCAUCAUAUCAUCUUUUUAUUCAAAAACCCACUUGAAUCUUGAAGGACGUCUGGAAAUCAAAAUGUGGGAAUGCUAUUUAAAAAUACGCACCCAAAGGUACUUGAGUUCGGCUUCGGGAAUUAUGGCGUAUCUUGUGUUUGUUGAUGCAUGUUUGGUUUGAUAAUGUUUUGGACAAACUUUUAAAACUAUUUGGGACCAAUGUAAUAAGAUCCAUAAGGAUCAAAACAAUUUAAUUAUGGUGUGAUUGUGACGAACUUUAAGACUUU
rnacentral:lncRNA from 1 species